rnacentral:rRNA from 1 species
UGGGGAAUAUUGGACAAUGGGGGAAACCCUGAUCCAGCAACGCCGCGUGAGCGAUGAAGGCCUUCGGGUCGUAAAGCUCUGUCAGAGGGGACGAACAGUAUCUAUGCUAAUAUCAUAGAUAUUUGACGGUACCCUCAAAGGAAGCACCGGCUAACUCUGUGCCAGCAGCCGCGGUAAUACAGAGGGUGCAAGCGUUGUUCGGAGUUACUGGGCGUAAAGCGCGUGUAGGCGGAUAGAGAAGUCAGAUGUGAAAUCCCUGGGCUUAACCCAGGACGUGCAUUUGAAACCAUUUAUCUAGAGUACGGUAGGGGAGAGGGGAAUUCCAGGUGUAGAGGUGAAAUUCGUAGAUAUCUGGAGGAACACCAGUGGCGAAGGCGCCUCUCUGGGCCGUUACUGACGCUGAGACGCGAAAGCUUGGGUAGCAAACAGG